GCGUGGCUGCGCGGUUCGUCAGGAGACAUAUCCCCGGGGCCUUACGCAUCCCUUUGGGAGCUGUUCCUGUCCUCGCCCGUGGGCUUGGGCACACGGCGCCCACCUACACAGUAGGUUUCCCGGGAUUGCAAACUCCAACGGCUGAUGCGGCCACGUC
rnacentral:other from 1 species